rnacentral:rRNA from 1 species
GACGAACGCUGGCGGCGUGCCUAAUACAUGCAAGUCGAACGGUCUUUUCUAUGGAAGCUUGCUUCCACUGAGAAGAUAGUGGCGAACGGGUGAGUAACACGUGGGUAACCUGCCCAUAAGAGGGGGAUAACAUCCGGAAACGGGUGCUAAUACCGCAUAGUUUUCUUGAUCGCAUGAUUGAGAAAGGAAAGACGGCCUUUGUGCUGUCGCUUAUGGAUGGACCCGCGGCGUAUUAGUUAGUUGGUGAGGUAACGGCUCACCAAGACGAUGAUACGUAGCCGACCUGAGAGGGUGAUCGGCCACAUUGGGACUGAGACACGGCCCAAACUCCUACGGGAGGCAGCAGUAGGGAAUCUUCCGCAAUGGACGAAAGUCUGACGGAGCAACGCCGCGUGAGUGAAGAAGGUUUUCGGAUCGUAAAACUCUGUUGUCAGAGAAGAACAAGUUGGAGAGUAACUGCUCCAGCCUUGACGGUAUCUGACCAGAAAGCCACGGCUAACUACGU